GUAGGUGGCAAGCGUUGUCCGGAAUUAUUGGGCGUAAAGCGCGCGCAGGCGGUUCUUUAAGUCUGAUGUGAAAGCCCACGGCUCAACCGUGGAGGGUCAUUGGAAACUGGAGAACUUGAGUACAGAAGAGGAAAGCGGAAUUCCACGUGUAGCGGUGAAAUGCGUAGAGAUGUGGAGGAACACCAGUGGCGAAGGCGGCUUUCUGGUCUGUAACUGACGCUGAGGCGCGAAAGCGUGGGGAGCAAACAGGGAUUAGAUACCCUGGUAGUCCACGCCGUAAACGAUGAGUGCUAAGUGUUAGGGGGUUUCCGCCCCCUUAGUGCUGCAGCUAACGCAUUAAGCACUCCGCCUGGGGAUACGGCCGAAAGGCUG
rnacentral:rRNA from 1 species